rnacentral:lncRNA from 10 species
GUUCACCCACUUACCAGUUGAUAUGUGGAUUGUUUCCAGGUUUUGACUAUUGUAAACGAAACUGCUGUAAGCCUUUACAAACAGAUCUUGUAAAAGCUACAAAUGGAAAAAUAAACACAAAAUCCAGGAAGGCAGGAGGGCAGGAAGACGGAAAGAUGUGCUCGAGGAGGGAGACCCAGGGGCUGCAUCGGAACUUCUAUUGCAUAAGCAAGGUGCUGAUCUGGUUCCACUGCCAUUUCCUUCUGGUAGAAAAAGGAGAAAAGUGAGAAAGCAAAAAGCUUGGAGGAAAUGCGUGGUGGCUGGAAGGUUUCUGUAUCUUCAAUUCUCUGGAGAACUUUUUACAUAAAUGUUAAAGAAUGAGGUAUUUAGAAUGAUC